AAUACAAUAUAUUCCAUCUCAAAAGAAAACAAGAUAAAAAUAUAAGUUAACAAUUGAUAUCCUAGAAUAGAGUAUAAUGAAGACACUGUAACAAGACAGGUGUCUACAAGGUGGCCUGACUAUGUCAGUAGAGGACUGUAAAAGUACAGGUGUCUACAAGGUGGCCUGACUAUGUCAGUAGAGGACUGUAAAAGUACAGGUGUCUACAUGGUGGCCUGACUAUGUCACUAGAGGACUGUAAAAGUACAGGUGUCUACAUGGUGGCCUGACUAUGUCACUAGAGGACUGUAACAGUACAGGUGUCUACAUGGUGGCCUGACUAUGUCACUAGAGGACUGUAACAGUACAGGUGUCUACAUGGUGGCCUGACUAUGUCACUAGAGGACUGUAACAGUACAGGUGUCUACAUGGUGGCCUGACUAUGUCACUAGAGGACUGUAACAGUACAGGUGUCUACAUGGUGGCCUGACUUUGUCACUAGAGGACUGUAAAAGUACAGGUGUUUACAUGGUGGCCUGACUUUGUCACUAGAGGACUAAAAGUACAGGUGUCUACAUGGUGGCCUGACUAUGUCACUAGAGGACUGUAACAGUACAGGUGUCUACAUGGUGGCCUGACUAUGUCACUAGAGGACUGUAACAGUACAGGUGUCUACAUGGUGGCCUGACUAUGUCAGUAGAGGACUGUAAAAGUACAGGUGUCUACAUGGUGGCCUGACUAUGUCACUAGAGGACUGUAACAGUACAGGUGUCUACAUGGUGGCCUGACUAUGUCACUAGAGGACUGUAACAGUACAGGUGUCUACAUGGUGGCCUGACUUUGUCACUAGAGGACUGUAAAAGUACAGGUGUUUACAUGGUGGCCUGACUUUGUCACUAGAGGACUAAAAGUACAGGUGUCUACAAGGUGGCCUGACUUUGUCACUAGAGGACUGUAAAAGUACAGGUGUCUACAUGGUGGCCUGACUUUGUCACUAGAGGACUGUAAAAGUACAGGUGUUUACAUGGUGGCCUGACUUUGUCACUAGAGGACUAAAAGUACAGGUGUCUACAAGGUGGCCUGACUAUGUCACUAGAGGACUGUAAAAGUACAGGUGUCUACAUGGUGGCCUGACUAUGUCACUAGAGGACUGUAACAGUACAGGUGUCUACAUGGUGGCCUGACUUUGUCACUAGAGGACUGUAAAAGUACAGGUGUCUACAAGGUGGCCUGAUUAUGUCACUAGAGGACUAAAAGUACAGGUGUCUACAAGGUGGCCUGACUAUGUCACUAGAGGACUGUAAAAGUACAGGUGUCUACAAGGUGGCCUGACUUUGUCACUAGAGGACAGUAAAAGUACAGGUGUCUACAAGGUGGCCUGACUUUGUCACUAGAGGACUGUAAAAGUACAGGUGUCUACAAGGUGGCCUGAUUAUGUCACUAGAGGACUAAAAGUACAGGUGUCUACAAGAUGGCCUGACUAUGUCACUAGAGGACUGUAAAAGUACAGGUGUCUACAAGGUGGCCUGACUUUGUCACUAGAGGACUGUAAAAGUACAGGUGUCUACAAGGUGGCCUGAUUAUGUCACUAGAGGACUAAAAGUACAGGUGUCUACAAGGUGGCCUGACUUUGUCACUAGAGGACUGUAAAAGUACAGGUGUCUACAAGGUGGUCUGAUUAUGUCACUAGAGGACUAAAGGUACAGGUGUCUACAUGGUGGCCUGACUAUGUCACUAGAGGACUGUAAAAGUACAGGUGUACAGGUGUCUACAUGGUGGUCUGAUUAUGUCACUAGAGGACUGUAAAAGUACAGGUGUCUACAAGGUGGUCUGACUAUGUCACUAGAGGACUAAAAGUACAGGUGUCUACAAGGUGGUCUGAUUAUGUCACUAGAGGACUGUAAAAGUACAGGUGUCUACAAGGUGGUCUGACUAUGUCACUAGAAGACUGUAAAAGUACAGGUGUCUACAAGGUGGUCUGAUUAUGUCACUAGAGGACUAAAGGUACAGGUGUCUACAAGGUGGCCUGAUGAUGUCACUAGAGGACUAAAGGUACAGGUGUCUACAAGGUGGUCUGAUUAUGUCACUAGAGGACUGUAAAAGUACAGGUGUCUACAAGGUGGCCUGACUAUGUCACUAGAGGACUAAAGGUACAGGUGUCUACAUGGUGGUCUGAUUAUGUCACUAGAGGACUGUAAAAGUACAGGUGUCUACAAGGUGGUCUGACUAUGUCACUAGAAGACUGUAAAAGUACAGGUGUCUACAAGGUGGUCUGACUAUGUCACUAGAAGACUGUAAAAGUACAGGUGUCUACAAGGUGGUCUGACUAUGUCACUAGAGGACUGUAAAAGUACAGGUGUCUACAAGGUGGCCUGAUGAUGUCACUAGAGGACUGUAAAAGUACAGGUGUCUACAAGGUGGCCUGACUAUGUCACUAGAGGACUGUAAAAGUACAGGUGUCUACAAGGUGGCCUGACUAUGUCACUAGAGGACUGUAAAAGUACAGGUGUCUACAAGGUGGCCUGACUAUGUCACUAGAGGACUGUAAAAGUACAGGUGUCUACAAGGUGGUCUGACUAUGUCACUAGAGGACUGUAAAAGUACAGGUGUCUACAAGGUGGCCUGACUAUGUCACUAGAGGACUGUAAAGUACAGGUGUCUACAAGGUGGCCUGACUAUGUCACUAGAGGACUGUAAAAGUACAGGUGUCUACAAGGUGGCCUGACUAUGUCACUAGAGGACUGUAAAAGUACAGGUGUCUACAAGGUGGCCUGACUAUGUCACUAGAGGACUGUAAAAGUACAGGUGUCUACAAGGUGGCCUGACUAUGUCACUAGAGGACUGUAAAAGUACAGGUGUCUACAUGGUGGCCUGACUAUGUCACUAGAGGACUGUAAAAGUACAGGUGUCUACAUGGUGGCCUGACUAUGUCACUAGAGGACUAAAAGUACAGGUGUCUACAAGGUGGCCUGACUAUGUCACUAGAGGACAGUAAAAGUACAGGUGUUUACAAGGUGGUCUGACUAUGUCACUAGAGGACU